rnacentral:tRNA from 1 species
ACCUGGCUGGCUCAGUAAAUAGAGCAUGUGACUCUUGAUCUGAGGGUUGUGGGUUUGAGCCCCACAUUGGGUG